rnacentral:lncRNA from 1 species
AAAUAUCUCAGAAUGGUUAAAACAUUUAAAAGCAGACUACCCACAAAGGAAAUAGAAUUAAGCAUCUGAAGAGCAACACAUGAGUUUCCACAAAACUUAAGAGAAAAUGAUUUCAAAUCUAGAAUCUUAUACUCAGAUUAACUAUUAGUUAAAGGUGAGGGAAAAUCAUGGCAUUUUCAGGUUUAUAGUAAUGGCUAAUAUUUAAUGAACUCUUACUAUGAGCCAGUUGUAUCUCCAUGCUCGUUGCAAUUAUUAACUUAUUUAUUUUAUACUCAGAACAGCCCAGCUAGUUCGGUACUAUUAUUAUCACUGGUUUUACAAAUGAAAAACCAGAAGUAUAGAGAAGUUGAGAAACCUGCCAAAGAUCAUGCCACUCGUAGAAGGCAGAGUUGGGUUUUGAAUCCAGGAAGUUUGGCUGCAGACUCUACACUCUUAACUACUACACAACAGUGCCACUCUGUUGGUCAGGCACUCAGAAAAUUUAUGUCCCAUGUAGCCUCUUUGAAAAAAAAAAUGCUUGAGGAUAUACUACAAUAAAAUGAAAAAGGAAGUCAAGAAAGAGGGAAGCGUCAGAUCCUAGAAAGAGUGGCACUAACCUGGGGGUCAGGCCAUUUCAGGACAACAGCAUGUCUAUGAAAUUAAAACAGAAAAUCAGAACAUUCCAUGAAAAAAUGUCAUCAAAAGAGAAAGAUUCUAUUGUUCGAAUUGUAUGAUUAAAACCCUGAAGUUCUUAAUAGUAAAAUGAUGGCGUGUAUUUCCCCUGGAAACAAGAAAAAAGAAAAGCAAUUGAGAACUCAAUGAUGAGCCAUUUUUUGGAGUGAAAGAAAAGAGAAUAUUCAGAACAUUCUCAUUCUAAAGGGGUAGAUUUAUUCCAUGAACAUUUCUGUCUUUAUGAGUCCAAUCAUACCAUUUGUUUCUUCAAUGUGUAAUAUUUACUUACUCAAUAUUGUAAAUGCAAUUUACUGCUUUUCCAUUUGUAGUUAAUUAUAGGAAAAGCAUGGAAAACUUAAUUACACUUUCUGUAGACUAGAAAGAAAAUAAUAAAAGCCUUAUAAUAUACAAGUACUGUCACAGUUAAUAGAAGACAAAAGGAAGAAAGAAGAGGAGAGGUGUAUGCAGGGGAAAUCAAGGUGUACUUAUUUCUCCAUUUUAUAGAGCAAUGAGUUAGCAAAUAGAAAUACAGAAUAUCACAAAUGUAUAAAGGUAAACAUUAAAAUAGGUAAACACAUACCUGUGAAAGCUGUCAGAAUCAAAAUGGAGUCACUAAUGUUAAGAAAACUUUGACUAAUAGAGCCCAGGAAGGCCAUAAAGAAAGGGCUCUCACAUUUGUAUGCCUGCCUGAUGGCAAAAAAAGAUGCUACAAAAACCACAAUUUCAGACAAAGGCCAUUGCAACCUUAUACACAAAAAAAACUUAUGCCAGGACAUCUGCCCAGCAGCUGCCUAUCUAAACUCGGACUGGCAACACCCUUAUUAUUGAUCUUUGUAGCCAAGGAUAAUUAUUUCAAAACAAUUAUGUAAUCUUCUUCACUUUUUCCUUUAAAAACCUUUGUCAGGCUGGGCGCGGUGGCUCACUCCUGUAAUCCCAGCAUUUUGAGAGGCCGAGGUGGGUGGAUCACGAGUUCAGGAGUUCAAGACCAGCCUGGCCAACAUGGUGAAACCCCGUCUCUACUAAAAAUACAAAAAAUUAGCCGGGUGUUGUGGCGGGUGCCUGUAAUCUCAGCUACUCAGGAGACUGAGGGAGAGAAUUGCUUCAACCAGGGAGGCAGAGGUUGCAGUGAGCCGAGAUCGCACCACUGCACUCCAAUCUGGGCAAGAGAACGUCUC